AUUUUUAUAAAGUUAUAUUACCUUGUUAUGCAGGUCUUUUUACAGUUCUUUUCUGUUCCCCAAGGCUCAGUAUCUAGCCUGCUAAGUGCAUCCACGUGAGAGCUAACAAACUCAUUGACUAUUUAUACACAGCCACUAAUUGCAAUUUAAAAAGCCAUAGGUGUGGGAAAUUAACCUUUAAUUGCCAUUUAAACUUGUUUGUGUCACAUUGUGUGUCUGUUACAAGGCCAAACAUUC